AUGAAAUACAAAAAAAUGAGAAUAUUCCAAAAUUUUUCGAUGUGCAAUUUACGCAAUUUUGAAAACUUUCGAACGUCACAGUACCUAGAUUUCAUAGUCAGUAGAUAAUAAGAAUGAAAACAUUAUUUUGCAGCCCAUAUCAUCAAAGGCUCUGUCACCAGCGGACGAGAAGCAACUCAAAGAAUCGCUGGCGAAGAAACUCGCAGAACUAAACGCCGCAGUUGCUGGCCUGAUAAACGCUACAUAUGCACGCGAUUCAUCGAACAUUGACCAUGGCGAGGCUGAGUUAUCUAUGGGCGUUAUAGAGCGCUUACUGCCAGAAGUUGUUCAAGGUAAAGUUGUCACAAGAUUAGGAUUGAGACUAGUCUGCUUAAAACAUAUUAAAUGUUAAAACGGGUCACUCACGUAUUUUAAGUCGAAAAUUGGUCGACAUGUUUCGUUCCAUAAGGAGCAACUUAAUCGGAAGCACGCAUUGGCGGACCGAUGCAGACUGCAGGCUGCAGCUCUCCACGACCGAUGGCUUGGCGUUUUAAUAUAAUAUUUAACAUGCUAUCGCAUCUAUCGCAAAGGCUUUCGAUAGGGUUUGGCACAAGGCGCUUCUUUCCAAGCUUCCCUCGUACGGGCUUCCUGAAGGGCUAUGCACAUGGGUCGCCAGCUUUCUAUCUGGGCGUAGCAUUGCAGUUGUCAUCGACGGACAAUGCUCAGAUCUCCGGCCCAUUAACGCCGGCGUACCCCAAGGAUCUGUACUGUCACCUACACUGUUCAUCCUUCAUAUCAAUGAUAUGCUAUUGACUAGCAAUAUCCAUUGCUAUGCGGAUGACAGCGGCCGCAUACCACUUACUACAUACUUAUAUGUUUCCACUUGAAUUGCAUAACUUAUAAACAGGUUGGCAUAAAUGCCACAGUCAUGCGCGCAAUAUACACAGCUGUUCACAUAUAGACACAUUUGUAAGCAGGGCUUUCAAUGAAUUAAUUACGUAUUUCCAACUAUACAAUUUUACAUAGCUUGAAUGUGUCAAUAAUCGGCUAAUUACCUACCAACCUUGUCUAUAACAAUUUAGAAGAUCUAUUGGCGGCUAAAGGAUAAGUGGGAUUUAAUACAAACACAAGAUGCAUGAGCCGGGUAGACAGGCCCAAGAUGACCCUUUCUGACUCAUCUAUAACCUUGGGGAGAACCGAUUAUAAAACGCUGGUAUGAAAUAUAUGACAAUUAUUAUGUUGUUUCUAGUUUUUUUAUAGCCAAUACCAGAAACUGUAAAUUCCUUUUUUCCCAAACAGCAUUACACCGACCAAUAAACGGGUAUAUUUAAAUUUAUUUAUUCCAUAAUACAAAUUACAUUAUAAAUUGCAGGCAUGUCAAUCCACAUGAAUUCAUAUAUUAACAUUCUAAGAAUAAGCAUUUUGUACCUACCUAUGUAUAGUAUGUACAUACGUGCACCGAGUCCUCAAGUAGACCAAUUGUUUUAACAAGCCAAGUAUCCAAUUAGUGAACUUAGUCGUCGCAAUAAAUUCUCAAGGCUUACCAAGAUAACAUCAAAGUUUAUUAAAAAGGGUCGAUAGAUAGUCAAUGUACAAAUAUAACAGGGUUUUCCAAUUACCUUUUUAUAGUUAUAAAUACUUGUGUCCUUAGUAGUCGCUACUCGUUUAACUUUUCGGUCAUCUGAAAAUUUCUAAGUAUAUAAAGAAAUUCAACGUUGACUAAGCUUCCAGUGAGGGGGUUAGUGACCUGCCAGCUGCACUGGAAGGCGGUCCAUGCGGGCUCUGACUCUGACUACUGCCUCACCAUCCACCUGUCCUGUCCAUGCGCAGCCACAUCCGCCCGUUUGCUACCUGUAAUAACUCAAACGUGUCAUUGAUUUUAAAACGCUCUAAAAUUCGAACUUUAAGAUACCUUUCUUCAAACAAAAAGGUCACUUUUGACACUGACAUAUCUAAUCCAUAUCAUAUCUUUAGGAAAUUUUUGACUUAUUUUUAAGUUCGAAUCGGACCGGAACAUGAUGUUAUCAUGAUGGUAUCACGAAAGUCUUGCCAUCAUUCUCGAAAAUCUUAUCUAUGUGUAACUGAAAUAUUUUCAGUAAGAAAUACCUUAAUUGAUAACUAAUUGAAACAUACUUAUAUCGAUUCCAUAGUGUAAUGAGUGAGUGAGUUUAAUCCCUUGCCACCAGUUCAAGGCCCAACUGGCGAGGUUACUAUUCACGAAGUUAAGCAAGCCAUUAGUAAAAUGAAAAAUCGAAAAGCGCUAGGUCCUGAUGAAAUUCCUGCCGAUCUUUGGAAGGCUCUGGGACCAUUGGCAGUAGAGUGGCUCACUAAACUUUUUAACAUAAUACUGGUAAGCAAAUCUAUUCCUGAGGCCUGGCGGCAAAGCUACCUUGUUCCAUUUUACAAGAACAAAGGGGAUUCGGUUCCGCGCCGAUGUAAUUUAAGGCCUAGAACUAAAAGGGUUAAUUAUAAAUAGUUAUAAGUAUAAUAAUGUACCCUUACUAUUCAAUACCAUCAUGAAUUCCCUCACCGAGAGAAUCCAGAAACCCUUACCGUGGAACUUAUUGUAUGCUGACGACGUGGCUCUGAUAUCAGACAAUGAACAAGAAGUACAGGAUAGUUUAGAUCAUUGGAGGCGAUCUCUGGAGCCAAACGGAUUGCGCAUAAGUAGAACCAAGACCGAGUAUAUGGUGCUCAACUUCAGCGCUAACAAAUCUAGCACGACACACACUGAGCUGAAGCUUGAUGGAGAAAUCCUACCAAGAGUAAACAAGUUCAAAUACCUAGGUUCUGUUAUUGCUGAGGAUGGCACGAUUACAGCCGACAUAACGCAUCGAAUAACAUCUGGAUGGAAUAAAUGGCGCGAACUAACAGGGGUCUUGUGUGACCCAAAAAUGCCAAUGAAAACUAAAGGCAAGGUAUAUAAAACUGCCGUUAGGCCAGUUCUACUAUACGGUAGUGGCUACGAAGCAAAUACACGAGCAAAAACUACACACUACUGAAAUGCGUAUGCUUCGUUGGGCAGGAGGAGUUACCCUUAAAGAUAAAGUCCGAAAUGAAUACAUUCGGGGCACCUUCAAAGUGGCACCAGUUACCGAGAAGCUAAAGGAAUCCAGACUAAGAUGGUUCGGACAUGUGAUGCGUAGACCCGAAAAUCACGUAGUGAAGAAGCGCCUCUUCGUGGCUGCAGCAAAGGGAGGAAGGGGCAGGCCAGUAACUACCUGGCUGACGAAUGUCCGAAGAGAUAUGAAGGAGUUGGGCCUGUCCAGUGACGACGCUUAUCAGCGAUCAAAGUGGCGCCUCAAGAUUAGGAAAGCCGACCCCGCGUAACAGGAUGAGGCGAGGAUAAAGAAGAAAGAAGAAGUAUAAUAAUGUACCUAUCUCUUUGAAGAUACUUGUGUCUAAAAUAUUGUCUGUUUUGUUGUCAGGUUCCCAGAAUAAUGUGGGAGGAGUGAUAUGUAUUGACUGUUGACGCUGUACCUGCAUGUUCCAGUAAUAAACCAGUCAUUGGUCCGAA